GAAGUGUGAACAUUAAUAUCCCGCUUAUUUUCUGUCCAAAAAGCCACCAUAUUUUUCUUCCAUUUUUAGUCCCCUGUGAACAAGAAAAGAAAUGCAAGAACAAGCAACUAGUUCAAUUGCAGCCAGUUUUCUUCCAUCCAGUAGCGAGAGAUCUUCCAGCUCUGCUAUUCAACUUGAAGACAAAGAAGGGAUGGAGAGUGACGAGGAAGUUAGGAGAGUGCCGGAGAUCAGCGGUGAACCGGCGGGAACUUCAGCCUCUGGUAGAGACGGCGGUUCAGUUGCGGGUGCAGAGCGAGCGCAGGCUCCAGCGGAGGGUCAGAGUCAGAGAAAGAGAGGAAAAAGCGUAGCUGACAAAGAAAACAAGCGGCUAAAGAGGUAAGACACUGAUUUUAUCAUGUUGCCCCAUCAUUAUCUGGGGAUGAAAGUAUUUAAUGUAGGUAUAAUGGUGUAAUCUUACGCGGGGGAAAAUGGAAAAAAGGUUGCUGAGGAACAGAGUUUCAGCACAGCAAGCAAGGGAGAGGAAAAAGGCGUACUUGAAUGAGUUGGAAACAAGAGUCAAAGAAUUGGAAAAGAAAAACUCUGAGCUUGAAGAGAGGCUUUCCACUUUGCAGAAUGAAAAUCAGAUGCUUAGAAAUGUAUGUGAUAAUCCCAUCUUAAUUAAUAGUAUUUUUCUCAUUAUUUAUUUUUCUCUUAGCCAUUGCAUAACAUAUCACAUGCUUUAUCAAUUUCACAAUUAAUAACCCACCUAUCAAGCAUUUAUGUGUUUAAUCAGUAUUUAUGAUCGGCUAGUAUAUAGUCUUUUCAAAUUAGGAAAGGUUAAAGGGGAAUAAAGGGAGAAUGAAAGGUCAUGGGCUUAUCAUUGAUAUGGGGUAUGUGGGUGAGCCCACAUCUUCAUAUCUGAUAUUUUGUUUUUGAUUUGAUAUUUGUUUGUGUCGCUAUCCAUAAGGUUAGGCAGGCAUGGAUUAGGAAUUGAGAAUAGAAUAGACCAGAACUUGCAAUGCCUUCUUGUCAUGGCCAAUACAAUGCUUCAAAUGCCAUCGAUCUGAUGGCACUAGGCAUGUCAAAAUUGCAUUAACGUUCUAUGCAAAGAAACCUUCAUUCUUUUGAUCAUUCGUUUUCUGCCAACCACGGCUUUUGACAAAUCAAUCGUGGAGGCUUUCUGUGGUGGAUUUGACUUGCAUAAUGUGGAUGAAGAGCAAACAUUGAAUGGGCAGCAAGUACCUUGAUUGCUGUAUAUUUGACUAAUAACUGGUUAAUACAUACUUCAAUUGUCACACAAUCAUGAUGCUCAUUUGUUGACUUGAUGUAAUAAAAAAGUAAAAAAA
rnacentral:misc_RNA from 1 species